GGGAAUGAUUAAUUACUAGGAAGAAUUAUUAAUUACCAGAGAAUGAUUAGUUACCAGGGAAUGAUUAAUUACUAGGAUCAAUUAUUAAUUCCCAGGGAAUGAUUAAUUGCCGGGACGGUCCGUGACGGCGGGGCAGGGGUUAAUUAGCGCGGGCAUUAAUUACCGGCGCUGUUAAUGAGCCGCGGCUCGGCCCGAACAGGCCAUGGAUGCCCCCUCGGAUGAAGGUGACGAUGAUGAUGAUGAGGAGUCGGUGCCGCGGGCUCAGCAGCGCCUCCUGCAGGCCAUGGAUGCCCCCUCAGAGGGCAGUGCUGAUGAUGAAGGUGACGAUGACGAUGAUGAUGAGCAGUCAGUGUCACAGGCUCAGCAGCGCCUCCUGCAGG